CAACCGAGAUUCCCCCAGUAGCGGCGAGCGAACGGGGAGCAGCCCAGAGCCUGAAUCAGUGUGUGUGUUAGUGGAAGCGUCUGGAAAGGCGUGCGAUACAGGGUGACAGCCCCGUACACAAAAAUGCACAUGCUGUGAGCUCGAUGAGUAGGGCGGGACACGUGGUAUCCUGUCUGAAUAUGGGGGGACCAUCCUCCAAGGCUAAAUACUCCUGACUGACCGAUAGUGAACCAGUACCGUGAGGGAAAGGCGAAAAGAACCCCGGCGAGGGGAGUGAAAAAGAACCUGAAACCGUGUACGUACAAGCAGUGGGAGCACAGAGCAAUCUGUGUGACUGCGUACCUUUUGUAUAAUGGGUCAGCGACUUAUAUUCUGUAGCAAGGUUAACCGAAUAGGGGAGCCGAAGGGAAACCGAGUCUUAACUGGGCGUUAAGUUGCAGGGUAUAGACCCGAAACCCGGUGAUCUAGCCAUGGGCAGGUUGAAGGUUGGGUAACACUAACUGGAGGACCGAACCGACUAAUGUUGAAAAAUUAGCGGAUGACUUGUGGCUGGGGGUGAAAGGCCAAUCAAACCGGGAGAUAGCUGGUUCUCCCCGAAAGCUAUUUAGGUAGCGCCUCGUGAAUUCAUCUCCGGGGGUAGAGCACUGUUUCGGCAAGGGGGUCAUCCCGACUUACCAACCCGAUGCAAACUGCGAAUACCGGAGAAUGUUAUCACGGGAGACACACGGCGGGUGCUAACGUCCGUCGUGAAGAGGGAAACAACCCAGACCGCCAGCUAAGGUCCCAAAGUCAUGGUUAAGUGGGAAACGAUGUGGGAAGGCCCAGACAGCCA
rnacentral:rRNA from 1 species